UGCCAGCAGCCGCGGUACCACGGGGGGAGCAAGCGUUGUCCGGAAUUAUUGGGCGUAAAGGGCGCGUAGGCUGGAUGAUCAGUCUAGGGUGAAAUCUUACGGCUUAACCGUAAGUCUGCCCCGGAUACUGUCAUUCUUGAGUUCGGAAGAGGGAAGUGGAAUUCCUGGUGUAGCGGUGAAAUGCGUAGAUAUCAGGAAGAACACCGGUGGCGAAGGCGGCUUCCUGGUCCGAUACUGACGCUGAGGCGCGAAAGCGUGGGGAGCGAACAGGAUUAGAUA
rnacentral:rRNA from 1 species